rnacentral:rRNA from 1 species
UACGGAGGGUGCAAGCGUUAUCCGGAUUUAUUGGGUUUAAAGGGUCCGUAGGCGGGCUUGUAAGUCAGUGGUGAAAUCUCAUAGCUCAACUAUGAAACUGCCAUUGAUACUGCAGGUCUUGAGUAAGGUAGAAGUAGCUGGAAUAAGUAGUGUAGCGGUGAAAUGCAUAGAUAUUACUUAGAACACCAAUUGCGAAGGCAGGUUACUAUGUCUUAACUGACGCUGAUGGACGAAAGCGUGGGUAGCGAACAGG